CAGUCGCCACGGGAAUACGAAGGGGGCUAGCGUUGCUCGGAAUGACUGGGCGUAAAGGGCGCGUAGGCGGUUCACGCAGUCAGAUGUGAAAUUCCUGGGCUUAACCUGGGGGCUGCAUUUGAGACGCGUGGGCUUGAUUGUGAAAGAGGGUCGUGGAAUUCCCAGUGUAGAGGUGAAAUUCGUAGAUAUUGGGAAGAACACCGGUGGCGAAGGCGGCGACCUGGUUCACAACUGACGCUGAGGCGCGAAAGCGUGGGGAGCAAACAGGAUUAGAUACCCCAGUAGUCCCUGUCUCUUAUAC
rnacentral:rRNA from 1 species